UAAAUAAAAGAAGCACAUUGAUGCAAAUGCGCGUGUCAAGUUAAGUUAAGGAUGGAUGGAACGAUGGAAGAACAAAGAGGAUCGAAAGUCAAACGGUGGUAUCGAUACGUCGUAUGCUGCCUUGGUGAAUGUCAACGUCCAACUUGACGCAUUGGAACCGCCUCAAAAGGAAUACAAUCGGUAUUGGCGCGAUGCCCGCAAAAAUGAUGACGACCGCUAUAGCCAACACCCAGCCGGGAUACGCGGUGGGUACAGCUAUGCCCUGAAAACAAAGGAAGGAAAAAAAGAAAGGAAGAAA